rnacentral:rRNA from 1 species
GAUGAACGCUAGCGGUAUGCUUAACACAUGCAAGUCGUACGGGAAAGUAAUUUCUAGUGGCGGACGGGUGAGUAACACGUGAGAAUUUGCCUUUAGGAAGAGGAUAACUUUUAGAAAUAGAAGCUAAUACUCUAUAUGCCGUUUGGUGAAAGAAGAAAUUCGCCUAAAGAGAAGCUCGCGUCUGAUUAGCUAGUUGGUAGGGUAAAGGCCUACCAAGGCGACGAUCAGUAGCUGGUUUGAGAGGAUGAUCAGCCACAUUGGAACUGAGACACGGUCCAGACUCCUACGGGAGGCAGCAGUGAGGAAUUUUCUGCAAUGGGCGAAAGCCUGACAGAGCAAUACCGCGUGAGGGAUGAAGGCCUAUGGGUUGUAAACCUCUUUUCUCAAGGAGGAAGAUAUGACGUUACUUGAGGAAUAAGCAUCGGCUAACCCUGUG